UGUUAGCCCAGUUUCACUCGAUAGUAAUGUGUUGAAUUUUUUCUAGAUUUCUUGAAGUUGUGGUUAAUUAUGUGUUGUGUCGCUUGCAUGUACAACCCUGCACUCUGUGGACCUUCCCAAAUUACGCCCCAAGUCCAUGUGAAAAUGAGAUAACCUCCUAAAGCGGACAUGAGCAGGACAUUAGUCAGACAGAAAAGGUCGAUGAGAGCCAAAGAGAAGUCAAGUAGUGGCAUGACAUAUUGACAAUUAGUACAAAUCUUAUGGCUACACAUGUUAUAACUUUGACUACCUGGCGAUGGGUCCAAAUUCCAGUGCUGUAUAAACUCAAGAGGCAGUGUUGCUAUCUAUGUUAAGAGCUACUAUUUCAGCAUGAUGCUCUUUUUUUUGUCUAUGGCUGCAUAAUAGAAAAUGGGAAAUGAAAUUUUUGUUACAUGAAUUAUGGUCCCAACUGUAGCAAUAUAUUGAGAGACACAU